ensembl:lncRNA
GCAGAAAGCAGACCCAAAUUGUUCUAAAUUAGCUUCCACUCUGAUCCGCUGUCUCACACCUCUUUGGUGUCAAGCUCAUUUUAGGUAGUGCUAGAAAUCACAAAGAGGAAAAGAGGGGACAUAUACCUUUUGUUAGAGCAUCACGGGGCCAUGGCUCACAGCUUGACUGGUGUCAGUCACCCUGUGCCACCCUGCUCCUGCCCUAGGAUAAGCAGAAAGUCUUAUCCUGCCCUGCUUAGGGAGAAGAGGUCUUUUUGUUAUUUUCUGGUAGGAAAAUUCUAUUUAUAACUGAUAGUCCCAUCAGGAAAUGGUCAGGAACAAAUCAAAGACUCAGGAACAAGUCGUUUUCUAUUCUUAUAUUUUACUGCUUUAAGCUCCACUAAGGACAAUGAAGCUGCCAUAGGUUUAGGCAGCAAAGCUGAAAUCCAGCUGAAAUGGGGCCUUAAUAAUGCACAGUGGGGCACUGAUCCAAGGUUUCAGUCCUGGAUCACUUUGCAGUGAAAACUUAGGAGAAGGAUGGCUCUUCACAGGUUCUCUCUGAAGGGACAAAGUGGAUCUAUGCAAUAAAAAAUCACAGUUUCUUCUCCAUUAUUGUUAUGAGUGGGAACCUUCCAAAGAAAUCUCCACUCAGAAAACACUCAUCUUUCAAAAGCACGCGAUUCCCAGAACAGAUACCUAUCAGUGAAACUUUGGAAGGGUGAGUUUCCCAAGCUACCGAUGUUGCAAAGUAAGAAAAAGAUAUGUGGAUAACAACUCCUGUUAACUAAGCAAUAACACAUGUAAGACACCUGGCUUGGAUGCACAAGAACUUUAUUUAAGACCCUUCUGUGUGUUGUGAGAUGUCACAGAAUCACGGAAUCAUUAAGCUUGGAAAAGACCACUGAGAUCACCAAGUCCAACCCCAACCCACCCCACUGUGCCCACUGAACAUGUCCCUCAGUGCCACAUCUCCUCAGUUCUUGAACACCUCCAAGGACAGUGACUCCACUGCCUCGCUGUGCCAGUGCAUUUCCACUCUUUUGGAGAAGAAACUUUUCCUAAUGUACAGCCAGAACCUCUCCAGCAGAGGAGAUUUCACUGUGUCUGCUCAUCAGUGAAUUGCCCUUUGUAAGACUCAUAUCCUGACCAACUUGCUGCAGCUCUGCUUCCAAACAGUCCACUCUGGGAGAGAGAUUUGUCCUCCACAAACACUGCUUUAUGCCUUAGCAAGAUCAGUUUGCAGCUGCUCUUGACCCUUGAUGUCCAAUCUAGCAGUGCACACCUGGUCCAAACUAUUGGGAAGGUCUGUGCUCCUUUGGCUGCUGAUCCGCAGUGAGGGUGCACCUCAUUAUCUCACAUGAUGGAGAUCUUUCUGACCUUCAUUUCUUACACCUCUGCACCCAGGGUACAUUGUGCCAACAUCUCCCCCUUGGUGCCUUCUUGACUGACUUCGAUGCAUGUUUAAUUUCUUGCUGCCCAAAUUAAUUUUGCUGCUUGUAAUGUGUUUCUACCAAGUUUAACGAAGCUCUCCCAAGACUCCUAAUCUUGAUGACCUUUCUAAGAACAAAUACAAGCCAACGUGUUUCCCCAGGCAGAUUUUCCUAAUUUCUUACAGCUCUGUUGCCAACACAUUCCGACUUCCAUCUAAUUUCUUUUGGAUACGAUGACUCCUCCCCUAACUCCAGAGAGAGUAAUCAAUAUCAGGAGGAAAAACAACCAUUUUGGCUGCUUGCUGGGAAGUAGUUUGUCCUGUUUAAGGAAACUCUGGAGAGAGUCUAUUAGGCACAAACCAGAGGCAUGAGCUGACAACUCACGUCUACUUUUUUCUUCAUGCUGAUGCUUUCAAAGUCUACAUCAACCACUAGAAUCUCCAUUGGGUUACUUCUCACCUGACCACUGAGAUUUCUACUGAGCACCAUAAUCCUUUCCCCCUUGUUUUUUCCUUGCUGUCAUGUAAUUAUACUUUUUGCAGCCACAGAAAGUUGAAACUGGUGAGGCCCUGGCACAAGCUACCCAGAUAAGUUGUGGAUGACGCAACCCAAGAGGUGUUCAAGGCCAGGUUGGAUGGGGCCCUGGGAACCCUCAUUUAGUGUCUCAUGUAGUGGCUGGUAAGCCUGCCCAUAGCAGAGGGUUGGAACUAGAUGAUCUUUGAGGUCCUUUCCAACACAAUCCAUUCUAUGAUUCAAUGAUUCUAUGACAGCACUGGGAUAUGAGCAACUGAGGCAUUGGCUGCAGCUCAGGUCUUCAGAGAGAUUCUCCUGUUGAAAGCAGCUUUUAAGAGGUAGUCAAGAUGACUUGCCAAAGGUGACCCAGAACACAUGUAGCACUGUGAGAAGUGAACUCAGGUCUGCUAAAUCUCACACCAGAGCCCUAAGCAGAGGAUUAUCUGUGGUUUCUUCUGUAACAGUGGAAUAGAGGAAAGAUAGGGAUUUCCAGGAACAAAAAAAAAAAAACACAUCUUCAAACCUCUUUAAAGGCCAUGGACUUAAAUCCUUCUUGUGCUAUAAGUGUACUGCAGAAUCAAUGUAAGCAGGGGAAAAACAAGAGUUAUCUUCAGUUCAGAUUAGCUUGCAAUCAACACUUUUUUUUUUUAAUGCUCUUUCUUUUUUUACUUUUAUUUUGAGGACAUUUAAAGAACAGUGAAGACUCAAAACUGUUCACAGGGUCUGGGUUUCUGGCACUGCUGAAGGUUCUGCAAGGUAGCAACGUCUCUGUAUUCAGAUGACUUGCUAACUCUGUCAUAGCCCUGGUAGAACACUAUUUAAAAAAGUUAUUUCUGAUGACAUAUUCCAAUGCAAUGGAGAUUCCUAUGUAUGUUAAUUUGCUUUGAGGAUUGCAUCAUCUCAAAGGAAGUAUAGCCAAAGAGAUUUAAAACAAAAGUGGUCUGUCUCCAGGUUGAGCUGUGAUACUUGGCAGUAAUACUGCUCUCCACUGAGUCCAAUGUGCUGCUUUAACAUAAUGCUCUCCUUCCCAUUGUGUCAUGCUGGAAGGAUGGCAUUUCUUGUCUCCCGAUCCCUAAAAGAUACUAGAUGAGAUAUUUAAGCUACCAAUGUCCUUGAAUGAGGUUAUUAGUCCAUGUAGAACCUUGUACUGUGAGCAUUAUGAGGAUUUUGGGGGGACUGUUCAGGAAGCAAAAUGCUGAAAUGAAACCUCUCAUUACUGAAGUAAGUGUCGUGGAAACCUACUUACAACUUGGUUGUAGGACACGCAUAUUUAUCCCUAUUACUGUCCCAGCAUUUUAUCAACUAGUGUCUUAUGUUGAAUUGAGAGAGUGGGAUGCUCGGGAUGAGAAAGGAUUUCUUUGCCCAUCUCCAGGUUUCACACCAUGAACACAAUGCUAAGACACUAAAUUUCAUGCCCCAAAGCUGACGGAUGUCCCUUGCUGCCUGAAAGGGACAUUUCUGUGUAUUGUCCAUGACAAUUUUUGGAUAAACACCACUGAUGAGUUCCUGCCCACUGCUGAAUUUCCUGAGAGAGCUGUGCUGAAGGCUUCCCUUCCAACCACAGGGACGUGUCUACAAGGAGUGACAGCCUGCUCAACACUAUCCCUUCAGGCAGAUGAAGGCCAUUUAUUACUGUUCAUCGUAUUUCACGAGAACCUAGGAGCCUCCACCAGUUUUAGAGGGCCUUGCUCAAGACUCAGAAGUGCAGAACAGAUAAAAUUGGAGGAAUGCUAUUACCUAAGCUUUCAAAUAAUGCAUUAUCUUUUUCAAUUUUGUGAAAUGUAUACCUUUUGGUUUAAACUAAAUCAUGUUUUUAUUCAUGUUAUCUGGCCAAAAUAAAGAACCUCAGAUGUUAUUUUAUAUGCCUUGGAACAUUCUGUCCAACCUGGAGGAAAGGAUUUUGUUUGGUCAUAGGAAAUAAAGAGCUCAAAGACUAGCAGAUUUCCUAAACGAAAGGCAUAUCAGAAGACUUGCAGAGGAUGUUGAAGACCCAAAUUUAUCCGCUGCUUCAGCCUGAGAAAACCUGCAUCUCUUUGGCACCAUUCCACUCUAUGCAAUUAAAGGCUUAUGGGAGCAGAGGUGGGUUUGGGUAGACCACCUUCUGAAAUGUGUGCCCUGGAUGCCUACAAGCAGAUUCAGUGAUCAGAGCAGACCAACUCCAACACAAUAAGCUCAGAGAUACCUGUCUGAGCUGCAGAGACUAUGGAGCCAGCAUGAAUAAGAAGCCCAAAUUUGCACAUAAAUUCAGGCUGAUGAAAAUGAAUUUUUAGCCUAUUUACUGGUUGUCAAAAAAGCUGCGUUGGAGCUCUGGUUAUUAUUUCCACUUUAUGGACAGAGGGGUAUAUGGAGUGUGAAGAACCACGAAGAGACUUUGAGCCUGGAUCUGCGGUUCCACAGUCCUGCUGAAAUGAACUGGAAAUCUUAGUGCUGUUAGGAUAGGGACAGCUUACACACGAGAUGCUUUUCCCAACCCAGGGCAAGAAGCAGAAAUCAGAAUUUUCUGAAGUGACUGAUCAGCUCUGGCACUGUGCAGCAAACUAAUCACAAUUUAUGCUGCGCCUUUGUCAUCGU